CAGAAAAUAGUCUAGGUAGGAUGCUAUCUUUGGGAGAUAGUGGUGAGAGUUAAAGUCUUUCUUUUCUGG
rnacentral:tRNA from 1 species